UGGGGAAUCUUGCGCAAUGGACGAAAGUCUGACGCAGCCACGCCGCGUGAGUGAAGAAGGCCUUCGGGUUGUAAAGCUCUGUCGAACGGGACGAAAAGCUUUAGAGUGAAUAGCUCUAGAGCCUGACGGUACCGAGAGAGGAAGCACCGGCUAACUCCGUGCCAGCAGCCGCGGUAAUACGGAGGGUGCAAGCGUUGCUCGGAAUUAUUGGGCGUAAAGGGUAGGUAGGUGGUCUCAUUUGUCGGGGGUGAAAGCCUUGGGCUUAACUCAAGAAGUGCCCCCGAAACGGUGAGACUGGAGUCCUGGAGAGGGUCGUGGAAUUCCCGGUGUAGCGGUGAAAUGCGUAGAGAUCGGGAGGAACACCAGAGGCGAAGGCGGCGACCUGGACAGGCACUGACACUCAACUACGAAAGCGUGGGGAGCAAACAGGAUUAGAUACCCCCGUAGUCC
rnacentral:rRNA from 1 species